GAUGAACGCUGGCGGCGUGCCUAAUACAUGCAAGUCGAGCGAUGCGGGGACGGGUGAGUAACACGUCGAUAACCUCCUAUAAGACGGGGAUAACUUCGGGAAACCGGAUCUAAACCAGAUACUUAUUGAUGGAUCUGCGAUGAAUUAGCUAGUUGGUAGGGUAACGGCUUACCAAGGCAAUGAUGCAUAGCCGACCUGAGAGGGUGAUGCGCCACACGGGGACUGAGACACGGUCCAGACUCCUACGUGAGGCAGCAGUAGGGAAUCUUCCGCAAUGGGCGAAAGCCUGACGGAGAAACGCAGCGUGAGUGAGGAAGGUCUUCGGAUCGUAAAGCUCUGUUGUUAGGGAAGCGGUACCUAAUCAGAAAGCAACGGCUAACUACGUGCCAGCAGCCGCGGUAAUUC
rnacentral:rRNA from 1 species